ACGGCUCACCAAGGCAACGAUGCGUAGCCGACCUGAGAGGGUGAUCGGCCACACUGGGACUGAGACACGGCCCAGACUCCUACGGGAGGCAGCAGUAGGGAAUCUUCCGCAAUGGACGAAAGUCUGACGGAGCAACGCCGCGUGAGUGAUGAAGGUUUUCGGAUCGUAAAGCUCUGUUGUUAGGGAAGAACAAGUACCGUUCAAAUAGGGCGGUACCUUGACGGUACCUAACCAGAAAGCCACGGCUAACUACGUGCCAGCAGCCGCGGUAAUACGUAGGUGGCAAGCGUUGUCCGGAAUUAUUGGGCGUAAAGGGCUCGCAGGCGGCUCCUUAAGUCUGAUGUGGAAGCCCCCGGCUCAACCGGGGAGGGUCAUUGGAAACUGGGGAACUUGAGUGCAGAAGAGGAGAGUGGAAUUCCACGUGUAGCGGUGAAAUGCGUAGAGAUGUGGAGGAACACCAGUGGCGAAGGCGACUCUCUGGUCUGUAACUGACGCUGAGGAGCGAAAGCGUGGGGAGCGAACAGGAUUAGAUACCCUGGUAGUCCACGCCGUAAACGAUGAGUGCUAAGUGUUAGGGGGUUUCCGCCCCUUAGUGCUGCAGCUAACGCAUUAAGCACUCCGC
rnacentral:rRNA from 1 species